UGUGUUUCGUAUUCCGGUCGCCAUGUUUAGCCGGAUUCACUCAGUUAAAUAGAAGAACUGCCUUGUCCUGCUUUCGUCAGUAGUUUUACUCUUUUAUAUGAUUAGUCCAUGUGUGUUUUCAGACCAAGUUAAUUUUUUAAAAUCCCCGUGCCUUUGAUAACAUGUUCAGUAACUCUGGGUAGUAAAGGAACACUUUCAUUCUGUGUUAUGGACCCUCUCAACCACGUGGAUGUCAUGCACCUUCAGGAGUCUCGUUCCUCAGCUCUGGAUCUGUCUGUGGGUUGUAGGCAGGGCCCAUUAAACUCCAUGGAGGCUUUGGAUUUGGUGAAGAAGCCCAGCUGGUGUGGCAUUACCUCAGGGAGCAAGAGCGCUAAUAUGUCCGAGUCUCGGUCCGGUAGGUACAUCACUCGGCCUAGCAAACAGAAUCCACCUGAUCACCCAGAACCAGGAUCAAAGCAUCAUGGGUCAAGGGUUUGCGGGACAUCAUCCCAUGGCUCCUACUCUAUGCCCUUACCCCUGAUCAAUGGAUUGCCGUCCGUGGCUCAGAUACUGUCUCAGUGCCCACCAACAGACCAAGUGUUUGUGGAUGACGCCGAUUACCAUGUGGAGAUGGACGAAGCAUUGACGCAAGCCAAGAGAUGCCGUAAGAAAGCCGACUGCAUGUUAGAAAACAGCACAUUAGGAGGUAGGAUAGCACACAGUGUAUUAGAGACACAUCCACAAGACAUUUUGACCAAUUGUGGUGAAACAUACUUGAGUGACACACUGUCAGGCAUGUCACAAAUUAAGGGCUCAUCAUAUUUACCUCAGGACGCCAACGCUGCCGCAUACACACUACGUUCCACCAGCUCAGCGGUUGAGCAGACUGCCAUUGAAACUCUCGCGUCCGAAUGUACCGGCGCUGAAAAAACAUCUCCAUGCUCUGCUGAAUACAUCUCCAGUGACGAUGACAGUGACAUCAUUGAGGUACCAGUAAGCAACUCCAGAUGCAAGACGCCUCCAAACUGGCGCUCCCGAACUGAAAGUGUUAUUGUUAACGACACAAGCCAUGGAAGACGAAGAACUUUCUCUGCAAAGCAAGAAGUUGACUGUGAUUAUCAAAUAGACUGCUCUCCUAAAAAUGUGAACGUCUACGCAAUGGAUAAACCUAUUUUUGAAGACCGUGACGGUAGGACCGGCUCCGAAUCCAAAUCGCUGCUGUCGUGGAUGGAAUCGGUCUUGAUACCCAUAUCCCCGCAGGAAAGUGAUCAAGACAUGGAUGCUGCUUUUCCCCAAAAUUGCCCAUCUACCUCAGAUGCAGAAAACAUGAGCGUCUUGACGUCUCCGGAGAUUGGGGCGUCAUCUUCGACGACAAGCCGCUCGCGGAAGACUCCGGCCUCAAAGAGUAGGAAGCGAACAAAACCAAGGCCCAAAGCGAAACCCAAACCCAGAGCCAAACCGAAGAAACCAGCUAAGCAGGUGAGGGCAUCACCAGGAGGCAAAUCAGCAGCGAGUAUGGCUAAGAGAAGACGCAGAAAACCUCGGACGUCUGGAACUUCAUCCAUGUUUUCCCCUAAAGAGCCGGAGAUCAAACUCAAAUAUGCAAACCACAAAGAAGAGAAGAAAGAUGCCAGGCUGGACGGCUUCGCACCCUACAUUCACAUGGAGUUCUCAUCUUGCACAAUCGUCAAUUUUAGGGAAGAGGACGAUUAUUCGACAAGGAAAGGGUCACAGCAGGCAGUCUCGGGUGUCAUCCCGAAAACCUCCUGUUUGCAACUGGGCCGUGUUGGCUCCGAUGCCAGGUUUCAAGUCAGGCAUUUCUGCUGCCUGUGUGGGAGGGCUGGCAAUACUGAAGGCCUCGGGGACUUGCAUGGACCGUACUACUCCAACGGAGUUCAGCCCGUCUGUAAGGUCGACAGCAGUCCUGCUGCACAGAAGCAAGAUCCCGACUGCAGCGAUUUGGACUCUGUCUACAGUUUAGAGGAUGGUGCGUCCCAGUCCAUCAAACGGCAAAGGAAGGAGAACUGCUCGGAGAACGUGGAGGAGUCUGGUGUCUGUAGUGAGCACUGGAUACAUGAGGACUGUAGCAUUUGGACCGCAGGCAUCUUUUUGGUUAAAGGGAAACUUUACGGAUUGGAGGAAGCCAUUCGGCUUGCACAUGGAACAGUGUGUUCGCACUGUCACAUGAUUGGUGCCACUUUGGGAUGUUUCUUCAAAGAUUGCCCCAAUAAGUACCACUUCCCCUGUGCCCUGCAGUCAGACAGUGCGCUCAAUGAGGAGAACUUCACAAUGAGAUGCCCGAAGCACAAGAAUAAAACAUCCAGAUUGAGCGUUAGCAGGCUGAAGAACAGAUGACAUUUGGGAGGUGUUGAAAUGUCUUGGAAGAAUGGCAGCCCAACUGAAAGGUAGACUUCAACAGACAUUCGGUAAUCUGGCUGCAAAGUGGAUUCCUGAAGUGUUUACAGAUUGUUCCAUUUGAUUUUGUACUUCACGUGUUUGAGUGUUUACAUGUACUCUCAGGCAGCUGAAUGUCCGGGACUGGAUGUGCUGUAUCUGCACUUGCAGAUGGCCGCUGCCUUUUUGCCUGUCGCUUGAGUUGAAUGGUACCCUGGACAAUGCUGGAUGAUUUUCAUAGCAUUCCUCUGCUUUCUAAACGCUCGAUAAAUUCAUCCUCUGCAGAUUUUACAACAUGAGUGACAUCUUCAUUUCACUGAAGUUUACUCAAGGCCAAAUAUCUCCCUCUGCUUCAGACUGAAUCCUGUAAAGCCCUUUGCAAUGUUAAGGCAAGUUGAUAAUGAGAGCCCCGUUUCAUUUUAAGUUGCAGUACAAGUGCACUGAGCGGAAGUGCUUUUUUUUGUAGUUUUUUUAUACAAAUUCCAGCAUCUCAUUGUUCAUUAAAUAUGUAACACGAACUGACCAUUCUUUAACAGUGGUGUCUUUAUCACAUAAAACUGAAAUGCUGAACGAACUAGUCUCCUCCAGUGGUACCGUAUGCACUAGUAUGUGAACAUAUUUAUUUCUAUUUAUGUUUAAUGCAUAUGUGUAUAUUUAUUUGCCAAUGAACAGCCUCCUUUAAAAAGACAGAGUGUGUUUUAGCACCUUGUAAAAAUGCAGUAAAGGAACAUUAUAAUUUGAUGUUGGUAACAGAUACAGGGUGCUUUAAAUAUGAAUCUGAUUUGAGUUUUAAUUUGAAAUUUGUGGCCUGGGAAUCAAGGGGUCACGGCAUCUGUAGGAUUUUCCAUUUCACCUGAUGCCUUGUGAUGUCUCGAAUUCUGUUUCAAUAAAUGUUUUUAUGUUCUACAUUCCUAA